rnacentral:rRNA from 1 species
UACAGAGGGGGCAAGCGUUGUUCGGAAUUACUGGGCGUAAAGGGCGCGUAGGCGGCCUUCUAAGUCGAACGUGAAAUCCCCGGGCUCAACCCGGGAACUGCGUCCGAUACUGGAAGGCUUGAAUCCGGGAGAGGGAUGCGGAAUUCCAGGUGUAGCGGUGAAAUGCGUAGAUAUCGGGAGGAACACCAGUGGCGAAGGCGGCUACCUGGCCCACUCUUGACGCUGAGGCGCGAAAGCUAGGGGAGCAAACGGG